AAUUGUGUUUUGUAUCUGCUUUUCAUUUUCAGCACCUUAAUUGAAUAAAUGUGAUUUGAUUUAUGCAUAAAAUUGUAUUUUAGUAUGUUAUGCACCACUGAGUCAUAGAACUCAGCGAUAGCUUUUUAUUGCUGCCGCAGGUAAAGAAGUAAAUAAGGCAGCAGAGUAGGUUGCUUAGAACUGAAGUGACCAGCAUUUUAAAUUUUU
rnacentral:misc_RNA from 1 species